rnacentral:misc_RNA from 1 species
UCUCCGUUGGUGAACCAGCGGAGGGAUCAUUACAGAGUUGUAAAACUCCCAAACCCAUGUGAACAUACCUGUUGCCUCGGUGGCCUACCCGGUAGCUACCCUGUAGCUACCCUGCAGAGGCCGCCGCCGGUGGGAAUUUAAACUAUUGCCAUGUAUUGUCAUCUGAGAGUCUUAUGAGAAUAAGUCAAAACCUUUAACAACGGAUCUCUUGGUUCUGGCAUCGAUGAAGAACGCAGC